rnacentral:misc_RNA from 1 species
AGAUAAUUGUUUUGACUAUAGAGAUUUGUAUUAUCACUUCAUGUAACUGUCUUCCCCUGUUAAAACUGACUGUCCACUCAUUGUGAUGUCAACAGGUGAUGGAAUGUGGAAGAUAGACAUUGAUGAACCAGCUACUAAUAAUAAUAGCAAGACACAAGGUGUCUUUUACAGGUUUUGUUCUCUACCAAGACACAUUCCUGCAGAUCGGUGUGUAGGAUCAUCUUACAUCAAAGAAGAGUUGCAGAAGAAGAAACAUCAAACUAGAAGAGUUAAACCAAGAGGACCGAGUCUACAGACUGACUUUUUUCCCCAAAAUAACCCAUUGGAAAUCUUUGUUAAUGAGACAAAGUUGUUACCUCAGUGUUCACCUGAUGUAGCAGUCAUCAGACCAAAGAACUUAUCUAAGAGAGAUGUACAUGAACAUCAAAAAGAAGAAAAGAAAAAACGAUAUAAACACCUCACCCUUUCUAACCAAACUUCUGAUUAUCUGAAUUCUAAAAAUGAGAAACACAUUAGCAAUAUCAGUACUACGAACCUCCAUCCUGCCUGUAGCAAUAUCAGUACUACGAACCUCCAGCCCACCUGUAGCAAUAUCAGUACUACGAACCUCCAUCCCGCCUGUAGCAAUAUCAGUACUACGAACCUCCAGCCCACCUGUAGCAAUAUCGGUACUACGAACCUCCAGCCCACCUGUAGCAAUAUCGGUACUACGAACCUCCAGCCCACCUGUAGCAAUAUCGGUACUACGAACCUCCAGCCCACCUGUAGCAAUAUCGGUACUAUGAACCCCCAGCCCACCUGUAGCACUAUCAGUACUAUGAACCCCCAGCCCACCUGUAGCAAUAUCAGUACUAUGAACCCCCAGCCCACCUGUAGCAAUAUCAGUACUAUGAACCUCCAGCCCACCUGUAGCAAUAUCAGUACUACGAACCUCCAGCCUGCCUGUAGCAAUAUCAGUACUACGAACCUCCAGCCCGCCUGUAGCAAUAUCAGUACUACGAACCUCCAGCCCGCCUGUAGCAAUAUCAGUACUACAAACCUCCAGCCCACCUGUAGCAAUAUCAGUACUACGAACCUCCAGCCCACCUGUAGCAAUAUCAGUACUACGAACUUCCAGCCCACCUGUAGCAAUAUCAGUACUACGAACCUCCAGCCCACUUGUAGUAAUAUCAACACUACAGCCAUAAGAAGUGCCUCUUCAUCUAAUGUUGUCUCACUUGGUGACACAGUUAACACAUCAUUAUCAAAGCCACGAAUUACAUGUAGUAAUAUCAACACUACAGCCAUAAGAAGUGCCUCUUCAUCUCAUGUUGUCUCACCUGAUGACACAGUUAACACAUCGUUAUCAAAGACACGAAUUACGUGUAGUAAUAUCAACACUACAGCCAUAAGAAGUGCCUCUUCUUCUAAUGUUGUCUCACCUGGUGACACAGUUAACACAUCGUUAUCAGCACACCAUACAACUGACAAUUAUGUUAUUGUCCAAGAAUUGAAGUGCAAGAGUCCAUCAGGGAUCUCAGAAGAUAGUCUUGAAGUUUCUUCACCAAACAGAUCUAAUCAUUUUAACGCACAGCAACAGCUUAGUGAAUCGUUUGAGGCUCGACUGUUAGCAGAAAUACAAAAAGAAGAGGAAGACCAAGAGGAUCAGAUUCAUCUGUCAUAUGGAGGCCUACACUUAUGAAACACAGGAAGAAAUGAAGAAAACUAGACUUCCCCGUCUGUCAGAUCCUCUUAAUUCAACAGAUCCCCAAGACUGGGCUGAAGCCUCCAGUCUGUUGGAAGCAAGA